AGCAUUUUGUUCUUUUGUUUUUGUCCAUCUUGGACAGAAACAGAACUUUGUGCUAAUAAUAAUGGCUCUUUUGCAACCCACAACUCAUAACCAAUAUGAGUUGUGCUACUUGUAAGAGUGAACAGU
ensembl:snoRNA small nucleolar RNA SNORA40